CACACUCCCGCCUGACCGCGGGUCAGGGGCAGUAAUAUGGCUGCGCCCGUGAGCGUGCCGGGGGCACCGCUAGAGCGGGCGGUCUAGUCCGGUCCUGUGGUGGGGAGAGCUGGUCUGUGCCGCGCCGUGUCGCUACCCUGCUUCGGCACUCCUGCAUGGAGCCGCGGGAGUCCUGGGCGGCCUUGGCGGCUGGUGGAGUUGCUGGUGUCUGUGUUGACUUGAUCCUUUUUCCCCUGGAUACUGUAAAAACCAGACUGCAGAGUCCCCAAGGAUUUAGGAAGGCUGGUGGCUUUCGUGGCAUCUAUGCUGGUGUUCCUUCCACUGCUAUAGGAUCCUUUCCAAAUGCUGCUGCAUUUUUUAUCACCUAUGAGAAUGUGAAAUCCAUGCUGCACUAUGGCUCUACACCUUACUUGACUCCAGCAACACACAUGGUGGCUGCCUCCCUUGGAGAAGUGGUUGCAUGCCUCAUACGGGUUCCAUCUGAGGUUGUCAAGCAAAGGGCCCAGGUUUCUCCUUCCUCGAGUACCCUCCGAAUUCUCUCCCACACCUUGUAUCGUGAGGGUAUUCAAGGACUUUAUCGGGGUUAUAAAAGCACAGUAUUAAGAGAGGGAACAGUGGAGGAGGUAUGGGUGAGAGCAGUUUCUGGGAUGGAGGCACAGUUUCAGUUGAGAAAGCUCUUACAAGAUUCCUUUCUCUCUGGUACAAUUUCCCCUCUGGGAAUCCUUAAAGGUGGAUUUGCAGCUGCAGUCACCACACCUCUUGAUGUAGCGAAGACAAGAAUUAUGUUGGCAAAGGCUGGUUCCAGCAACGCUAGCGGGAAUGUUCUGGCUGCCCUCGGUGGCAUCUGGAGGACACAAGGCCUGUCAGGCUUGUUCGCAGGUGUUGUCCCACGGAUGGCAGCCAUCAGCCUGGGAGGCUUCAUCUUCCUGGGGACAUACGAGAAGACUCGCCAGCUGCUGCUCUGACCCAGCCCGGCCGCUCCUGCUGGUGCUCGCCGAAGAGCUGGAGAAGCUGCCGAGCUGGACUGAGUCCGCCCGCGAACGCAGCUUCCUCCUGCCGCCCCUCGCCGUACUGCAGCAGCUGUUCAGCAGGCUGAGAGCCGCUUUCACCGUUAAAGAAAAGUAAAUCCUCCAAUAAUCCAAUUUCCCAAACAUGAAAUUUUCCUGCAUGGAAAGUGAGUGAGGUCAUUGUGAGAGUCGUGCCAAAAAAGUCAUGUUUGGGGGGUAAACAGCUAAUUACGGUGGCUGAGAAAGGCGUUAUUAGAACUCCUGCAGGGAAAAAUGUUUUGCAAACCUCCAGAUCGUGGGCUGAGAGGGGAGGCUGAAAUAAAGCGAGUUUUCAUAAUUCAGUGGCACCUGCCUUGUAACAGAGGGAGGGAUUUUCUGGUCGGGGAAGGGGCUGAUAGAGUUACAGCCUGCUGCCCUCCAACAGCACUGAAAGUAUUCCAGGUUGGGGGAGAAUUCUUUGUAGAAGACAAUAAUCCAUUUGUUUCUGAUUUGAGCCUUAUUUGUGAAAGUUUAUAUUCCUGUUUAUACCUACAGGUGCUCAGCAAGCAUUCCUGUGUGGUAGCCAGUGCAGCUUUAUUAAUUAGACUCACAUUUCUCUGGUAAAAGCACAGGCUUGUAUUAUUUUACAGCUGUGCUUGUGCAAAGACAUGCAGCUCUGCCUUCUUUUGGUCUUCUUCCCUCAGCAGCUGAAGGAGCUGGAAAUGCCGAAGCCCGGGAGGGAGGCCGGGAAGGCAAGGCAGGGAGAGCGCCCAAGUUCUCCUGCGACGGACGGAUGGAUCCUGAGGGCUCUCAGGGGGCUGCUGGCAGGCGGAGCAAACCUCUGCUCUUGCUCUCAUGUUAGGAGAGAAAAGCUGCAGUGGCCAAAAUGGUGCAGGGACGAGCUCGGUGAAAAAGCCUUCUUGAAAUUACUCAAAAUUAUCACCAGAGCCUGGGGUGGGGGCCCCAAGUUUACACCAGCAACUUGGGUAGUGGUGCUUGACAAGGUUGUGAUGUGGAGGGUGUUUGCGUGGGGACACCUGGGCAGACACAGCCGAGCUGCUGCACUGAGCGCCUUUGGCACGCACCGAACGGGCCCUCCUGGGGCUGCGCCGGUGCGGUGGGGCGAGAGGUUCACGGGUUUGCCCUGGGCUCAGCCAUGAUGUUUGGCAGUCGAGGGGGCCCCUUGCACCUGGGGGUGAGGUGGUGGGUGCUGGCUGCCACGGGGCUGUGUGAUGAGUCGUGCUGUGGUGCGCAGGGCGGCUGUGCGCUGGGUGCUGGGACUCAGUGCACCGUGAGUGCCUGCUGUCAGGUGUGAGAGGGGUGGCAGAGCCCAGCGCAGCUCGUGCAGCCAUAGCAGCACUGAGGCAUCGGCGUCGUCCCGGUGCCAUCACACGCGUGCACCUGCUGGUCUGCGCACGCUCCUUCCGAGUCAUCGCAACGCUGCAGAGUCAACUGAAGUGGACCCUGUGUGACAUGCUGCCCCGGGCUGCUGGAAUUUGAGGCUGUUCUCCUCAUUAGGAACAUAAAGGUGUAGGGAGAAGAAAAGCCAAACCAGUUAAAGGAAGAAUUCAAGCUUAUCUCCAAAGCUGCCUCUGGAAUUUCCAUACUGGGUGAGGUUUAGGUUUGAGAAAGCCAUAAGCGUUCACAACUGCAGCUGAGUCUGGUGCCCAUUUUUCUUGCAUACUUACACACACUCACACCCCACCUGUUCCAUUUGCGGUGCCAAGAUCAGGGCACUGGCCAGAUACAUUUCUAAUACAGCAACUUGCUCAAGUAUUUCUCACGAGUUCUUCACUGCGUCUUUCCCUACAGCCCCAACUCCCACCCCAGCACCUCAUGCUGACCUGCAGCAUCUCAGGGGAAAGCUGCGGCUCCAGUUUCAGCAGCAGUGAUUUUGGCAGUUAGUCUGCAUUUUCAUCAAAGACAGAAAAGGGUAUAGCAAUGGAUUAGAAUUUUAUUUAAUUUUCAACUGAAACUCCCA